UACGUAGGGGGCUAGCGUUGUCCGGAAUUAUUGGGCGUAAAGCGCGUGUAGGCGGCCAGAAAAGUCCGCUGUGAAAACUCGAGGCUCAACUUCGAGCUGUCGGUGGAAACUUUCUGGCUAGAGUCCGGAAGAGGAGAAUGGAAUUCCUGGUGAUAGCGGUGAAAUGCGCAGAUAUCAGGAAGAACACCCGUGGCGAAGGCGGUUCUCUGGGACGGUACUGACGCUGAGACGCGAAAGCGUGGGGAGCGAACAGG
rnacentral:rRNA from 1 species